rnacentral:rRNA from 1 species
GAUGGACGCUGGCGGCGUGCCUAAUACAUGCGAGUCGAGCGAACAGACGAGGAGCUUGCUCCUCUGACGUUAGCGGCGGACGGGUGAGUAACACGUGGAUAACCUACCUAUAAGACUGGGAUAACUUCGGGAAACCGGAGCUAAUACCGGAUAAUAUAUUGAACCGCAUGGUUCAAUAGUGAAAGACGGUUUUGCUGUCACUUAUAGAUGGAUCCGCGCCGCAUUAGCUAGUUGGUAAGGUAACGGCUUACCAAGGCAACGAUGCGUAGCCGACCUGAGAGGGUGAUCGGCCACACUGGAACUGAGACACGGUCCAGACUCCUACGGGAGGCAGCAGUAGGGAAUCUUCCGCAAUGGGCGAAAGCCUGACGGAGCAACGCCGCGUGAGUGAUGAAGGUCUUCGGAUCGUAAAACUCUGUUAUUAGGGAAGAACAAAUGUGUAAGUAACUAUGCAGGUCUUGACGGUACCUAAUCAGAAAGCCACGGCUAACUACGUG